UGUGAAGUGAAAUCUUUAUGCAGAGAUGUUAUGGUGCUCAUAAUAUAUUAUUCAUUUUGGCUCUUAACAUGAAAUGAGAUGAAUACUAGUAACUCCAAAUUUUAAUAGAUGACAAUGUGGAGGAGAUUAAAUAUAAGUGAUUCUCCUCUGGUCUUUCAGAGAACUGAUGGUUCUAGAUAAAUUUUUCCCCAAAUCUGAAGAAUUAAUCACAUUUGGAAGACACACUUGGGAAGAACUUGCCUAGAGAAGAACCCACAUGGACUGGAACCAGGAGGAAGACGAAUAAGUGUGACUGGUGUAUCUGGGUUGAGUCAAAAGAUGUGGUGGUGGAUGAUGAAGGCUUAGGAAAGCCUCAGUGUGUUCAUAGACAUAUAAAUUCUGUUUUCCCUGAAGAAGAUAUACAUAACCAAAUGCCACUUUGAGGCGAUCUCAGAGAUAGGACAUAUGGCACCUGGGGAUGCUUGAAAGCCGCUAAGUUAUGAUUAUAAACAUCAAUUACUUCUAAUUACAGGGAUGG